rnacentral:rRNA from 1 species
AAUCAACGCUGGCGGCGUGCCUCAGACAUGCAAGUCGAACGAUUAAAGCUCUCUUCGGAGAGUGCAUAGAGUGGCGCACGGGUGAGUAACACGUAAGUAAUCUACCUUCGAGUGGGGAAUAACGUCCGGAAACGGACGCUAAUACCGCAUAAUGCAGCGGCAUCGCAGGAUGACAGUUGUUAAAGAUUUAUCGCUUGAAGAGGAGCUUGCGGCAGAUUAGCUAGUUGGUAAGGUAAUGGCUUACCAAGGCUACGAUCUGUAACCGGUCUAAGAGGACGGUCGGUCACACUGACACUGAAUAACGGGUCAGACUCCUACGGGAGGCAGCAGUGGGAAUCUUGCGCAAUGGGCGAAAGCCUGACGCAGCGACGCCGCGUGAGGGAUGACGGCCUCGGUUGUAA